UACGUAGGGUGCAGGCGUUAAUCGGAAUUACUGGGCGUAAAGCGUGCGUAGGUGGUUUGUUAAGACAGGUGUGAAAUCCCCGGGCUUAACCUGGGAACUGCGCUUGUUACUGGCAGACUUGAGUGUGGCAGAGGGGGGUGGAAUUCCAGGUGUAGCAGUGAAAUGCGUAGAUAUCUGGAGGAACACCGAUGGCGAAGGCAGCCCCCUGGGCUAACACUGACGCUGAUGCACGAAAGCGUGGGGAGCAAACAGG
rnacentral:rRNA from 1 species